CCCCCAGAUCCACCAGUCUGCUUCUCGGCCAUGGCAUCACGGCCGGUUUUCUCGCCGGCGCGCGCGUGCGUGCUUCGAUGCGCGCCGCUCCGUCGAGCUGGCCGGACCGUGGCGCGCGUGUGGACCGUGUAUCCGCUACCAAAUCUCCCCUCCGCUCCCGAAUCUAAUCCCCCAAAUCUCUCCUCCGCUCCCGAAUCAAAUUCCCAUCACCUCCGCCACCACCCCACCUACUCCCACAGCCGUCGCGAGCCACGAGCGCGAGCGGGGCGAUGGCCAAUCCUCUGCUUCUCCUCCAUUCAUCGUGCACGCCCUGGGACGAUGCCGACCGACAGAUCUAGGGCGACGACGAACCCUAGCCGCAACGGCUUGUUGGUGCGGCUGCGACGCAUUUGAUACUCGCCCCGAGCUCCCUCCUCCUCCGUUGUUGUGGCCGCCUUGGGACGAUAUUCGCCGCAUGUGACUGCUGUGUUGGGAACCGGUCCGGCCAAGGGGAAGCCGGGUUCCCAGCCAACGCAGCGUCCGGCGAAGGGGCUCUUCCUGCGGCCCGAUUGCGCUCACAACGUCCCCGUCACCAAGUUCAAUCAAAAGACUGGCAAGCCUCUCAAGUGUAAAGAAAAUGGCACGCUCUCUAGUCUAAGAUUGAUACAGAGCGGUGUAUGCAUGUGCCAAACUGAAACCAUAUGUGUUACGUAGUAGUUGUUCAUCUCUGACACGAGCUGCCCUGCAAUCAAAAUAGGUUGCAUCUAUUCUUGCUAGUAUUUUAUUUAUCUCCUUCCUCAUCUGUGACACCAGCUGUUGUGCAUGGAAUCAGGGAAUUCUUGCUCCGCUCGGAAGGAGUUAUCAUUGCCGUGGGAGUCUCUGACCUCUUCUUCUACUACCUAUUGCUGCUGCUGCUGGGUGUCUGUAGCUACAGGAUGUCCAUGGAGAAGAUGGCCAUUGGACUAUAGGGGAGCGAGAGGGCUGUCACCAAGAAGGAAGGCAUUGACUUUGCCAAGGAGUAUGGAUGUCUAUCUGGAAUGCAGCGCAAAGACCAAAGCGAAUGUUUAGUAGUGGUUUGAAGAGGAAUCAAUGAUGCCGACCUCCUUGCAGAGUUGUGCCAGGUACCAAAUGAUGACCUACUUGCACAGUUGUGAUAGAUCCUUCGGUGGAGGUGACCCAUGUGAUGGUGAUUCGCUCCAGCAGUUCCGGUCUGGCAGUGGUGGUGCUACACUGCUACUGCUCCUAUGAUGGCUACGCAUUGGUAGGCUCAGCUGCCUCCCUUUGCUGUCGCUGUGAUGGUGAAGCUCAGCCUAGGCUACAACCUCUUCCGAUGAGCUCCUCAGAUCAGGAUCUAAUGUUGUUGGGGUGGCUGCUAUUGUGACCAUGAUCAGAAGAAGCUUGGAGAUGUGCACAAUAGUUUUAGUUGAUGUUGCCACCAUGUUUUGGUGCAUGUGUAUUUCUUUUUGAUUGUAUGCAAACUUGAUGGAUCAUGUAGACGUGUAUGUGCUGUUGUGAGUUUCAUUGAGUGAUUUCUGGAUUUGAUCAUUUAAUUGAGAGAACUAUUGAUUGUUUGUUGUUGAAAUGUGUAAAGGAAAUCUGUGAAUGAAAAGGCUGAAUGUUCUAUUGGAUCGAGUAA